AUGAACUGCGUCUCGGUUCACACGUCUGGAGGAAAUAGUAGAAUAAUUCAACAAUCCAGUGAUUCCAAGCUUCGAGGCACAGAAAGGAAUCUUCCCACAGUACGCACAGUGUGGAUGCUGUGGCCACAGGUGUUCACUAAAAGUUAUUGAGUUGAAAAAUUGCCUGGAAGCCAGAAAGUGCCCUUCCUGGUGGAAUUCGGAACAGGUUGGAUUUGCUGCAUUUCAUGCCAGAUAAAUUACUGAAAAUUGAAGCACAGCUACAGGUAAAAUGACUAUGGAAGCACUCGCCACAGCCAAAUUCCCCCAACUCCAUCAACAACAACAAGAAAGAAAUGGCAAGGUAUUUAUUAACAGCUGAGCAGUCUAGCUUUGCUCCGGUCAGCUUCGGGUAGGAACUGAGUCAUCUCAGAUGGGACUUCUCCUGGCCAUUUAACACUCAAGGAAACUCAAUAAUCAAGUGACAUGAUUUAAUUUAUGACCAUUUUGAAAUUUUUCUUUCUAAUCUGUGUUGCAUCCAGUCACUCACAGAUUGAUUUUUAAGAGUUAACAUUCCACUAAAUCCAGUUUUCUUUAGGCUCUUAUUUGUAUACUCAUGACAAGUAAUGAAGUGGAUACACUUAGUUGAGGAAUAUUAAAAAACUUGUGUGAUUAUGUGUUUUGUUUUUCUCUUGGGUUGGUGACACAUUUCUAGUCUUCUAAGCUUACAUCACCUAAGAAGAACCAAUAACAUGUUCUAGCCUCCACUUAUUUUCUUAAUAGCCACAGGCUAC